GGAAUAUUGGACAAUGGGCGAAAGCCUGAUCCAGCAAUGCCGCGUGAGUGAUGAAGGCCUUAGGGUUGUAAAGCUCUUUUACCAGGGAUGAUAAUGACAGUACCUGGAGAAUAAGCUCCGGCUAACUCCGUGCCAGCAGCCGCGGUAAUACGGAGGGAGCUAGCGUUGUUCGGAAUUACUGGGCGUAAAGCGCGCGUAGGCGGAUCUGCAAGUCAGGGGUGAAAUCCCGAGGCUCAACCUCGGAACUGCCUUUGAUACUGCGGGUCUCGAGUCCGAGAGAGGUGAGUGGAAUUCCUAGUGUAGAGGUGAAAUUCGUAGAUAUUAGGAAGAACACCAGUGGCGAAGGCGGCUCACUGGCUCGGCACUGACGCUGAGGCGCGAAAGCGUGGGGAGCAAA
rnacentral:rRNA from 1 species